ensembl:processed_transcript
UGUUAUUUUUGUUGUAGGUGUGUUGGUGUAAAAAGUGAUGCUGACUGAACUCAGGCAGUUGUGCUGGACCCUCUGUACCUUAUACAGGAGAUGACUGUAAACUUUGAAGUUUAAGAGGUUCUGUAAUUUUGGUUAUAAGUACAAGGUGUGUUGGUGUAAAAAUUGAUGCUGACUGAACUCAGGCAGUUGUGCUGGACCAUCUGUACUUAAUACAGGGAAUGACAGUAAACUUCCACGUUUAAGAGCCACCUGAUGAUGAGAGAGACAAUUUCAAUAAGAAAAGUCCACAGUCACAAUAACAAGAUCAUUGGGCUGUCCCCUAAUUGUGGUGAGCUACAUGUUUAGUCUCUUAUGUGCUAAACAUUAUGUAGCCUAAGGAAGCAGCCCUGACUCUGGAGUUUAUAUGAAGGAGCGUGCUGAGUAACUAUCCAAAAUGUAGGUCCAAAGCAGAAAAAAGAGCACCAAGCAGAAACAUACCAUCUAAACUCCUUCGAUUCCUGUCAGACCAGAAAGACUUUCAGAAACCUUGGAAGAUUUAAAG